GACGUAGGUGGCGAACGUUUAUCCGGAAUCAUUGGGCGUAAAGGGUGCGUAGAUGGCCUGAUAAGUUAGCAGUGGGAAAUCGAGGCUCAACCUCGUGGAAGCUGGUAAUACUGUUAGGCUCGAGUGCAGGAGAAGUUAACGGAACUCCAUGUGGAGCGGUAAAAUGUGUAGAUAUAUGGAAGAACAUCAAUAACGGCGAAGGCAGUUAACUAUUCUGUUACUGACGUUGAGGCACGAAAGCGUGGGGAGCAAAACGG
rnacentral:rRNA from 1 species